AUUGAACGCUGGCGGCAGGCUUAACACAUGCAAGUCGAGCGAGCGGCGGACGGGUGAGUAAUGUCUGGGAAACUGCCUGAUGGAGGGGGAUAACUACUGGAAACGGUAGCUAAUACCGCAUACCAUCAGAUGUGCCCCGAUGGGAUUAGCUAGUAGGGGGGGUAAUGGCUCACCUAGGCGACGAUCCCUAGCUGGGCUGAGAGGCUGACCGGCCACACUGGAACUGAGACACGGCCCAGACUCCUACGGGAGGCAGCAGUGGGGAAUAUUGCACAAUGGGCGCAAGUCUGAUGCAGCCAUGCCGCGUGUGUGAAGAAGGCUUUCGGGUUGUAAAGCACUGUUAGGUAGGAGGCGUUACCUACAGAAGAAGCACCGGCUAACUCCGUGCCAGCAGCCGCGGUAAUUC
rnacentral:rRNA from 1 species